rfam:Equus caballus chromosome 17, whole genome shotgun sequence.
GGAUGUGAGGGCAAUCUGGCUGUGACAUCUGUCACCCCAUUGAUUGCCAGGGUUGAUAUGGUUGAUCUGGCUGGCUAGGCAGGUGUCCCCUUCCUCCCUCACUGCUCCAUGUGCGUCCCUCCCAAAGCUGUGCACUCGGUCGAAGAGAAUGACCUUCUCCGUUGGAGGAGGACUGUUCUUCGGUCAAAGGUAUAUGAGUAGCUGCGCUCCCUGCUAGAACUUCCAAACACGAUCUCAAGGUCCGUUUGUAGGAGAACAUAGGGAAGGCAGUCAAGCUUCCAAGACUCCAGACACAUCCAAACAAGGCACUGCAUGUGGCAGUCUCCUUGUCUU